rnacentral:lncRNA from 1 species
UUUUACCUAAUAAUGUUCCUUAAUAUCACUUACUCAUGCAUAGGUUAAUUUUGAUGGGACCCAAUAGGUCACCCUAGAUUGUUUAUCUCAUUACCUUGUUUACCCCUGAAUCACUUGGGUAGUUUGCUAUUGCUUUACAUGGUUUUGGGAUAAUCAUUUAUUAUAUCUAUGUUCCAAUUAUUCUUGUUAUUCUAUUUAUGUUCAUGUUAAGAUCAUUAAUGUUAAUUGGAACAUAGAGCUUAACUUGAGAACCACGUGCCACCACAAGUGUUUAAUGGGACGCCCUUGGCUGACUAAUUAGGAAAGCUAGUGGAAGACUACCUUACCCGAAAGGGGCAAGGGCAGUAGGGGAGUGGUCAGUGUAGGGAGGUCCUUGGUUGAUUUUGCUGCGAUGGCAGUCAGCCAAGAACCCUGCAUUGGAGCUUCCUAUAAACUGUAGCGGGUUUUCGGAAGCUAGUGGAACUUUGUAAAGGCCUCGUAGUGUUGCCCUGCCGCGCUUCCUAGGUAGAGGUGUAUGGGAUUCGCGACCCCUUGGCAGAUGGGUAACAUGACUUGUGGGUAAAGGGUACAACCUCUGCAGAGUGUAAAACUGGUAUACUAGCCGAGCUCACGGUCAUGAGCAGCUCAGGACUCUCUGAUGAUUAAUUUAUGAAACCUAAAUUCAAUUUUGUCAUUUGCAUAUGCAUGGGUUUAUUAUUAAUUUUGUUCUAUUACUUUAUUUAAGGUUUGGUAUUUACUUACAUCUAGUAAUUGCUAAUAAAAGUUUGACCAACAUUAAAAGCAAUGCUCAGCUUUAACCAUUCUCUUUGAUAAGCCUUACACUCCAUGAGCUCCCACCUUUGGUGAGUUCAUGUCACAUUAUUCCCCACAACUUGUUGAGCGAUGAUCAUGUGUGAGCUCACCCUUGCUGUCUCACACCCCCCCACAGGAGAAGAGCAGGUGGUUCAGGAGGAGCCACAAGGCGAGGAGUAUGAUCUGAUCUAGGUGGCGUUUCUCAGUUGACAUUGGCGCCAACGAUCCUUAGUUCGUUUCAUAUUCGUUAUUUUAUUUUGUAAUAAGUCUUCCGCUAUGUAAUAGAUACUCUGAUUAUUAUGACAUUUAUCUCUAUACACUCUGUUAUUAUAUAUGUUGUCUUCUUGGCGCAUGUAUGAGAUGCACCUGGCUUUGUUCCUUAAAGUCGGGUGUGACAGAAGUGGUAUCAGAGGAAAUGUUGACUGUAGGACGAAACCUAGAUAGAAAUGGACAAACCCUUAUCUACUUACCUUACUCUGAUUCAUUCUAUACUUACCUUAUCUUGAUCAUGUCUCACCUUGUGCUGUCAUACUCUGAUUACUCUUAUCUUUUCAACUCUAAGACAAGAUGGAUUUCAUACCUUGGAAUCCUACAUUUAUGAACUUUUUAAGAGAUAGGAGACCUAAGACAAAAAUUAAAACUAUUUUCUCUAUAAAAAAUGUUGGUUGAUUGUUCUGAUGAUAAAUGCUUGAUUUGCUUCUUUGAUUGAUUGAAAUAGUAUCGACGGGCAUCUUAGCAUGUACCACCAUAAGGUAUUGUAUUAGCUUUAGUGGAUAACACACUAAUCUACUUAGCUAAUAAAUCCCCCGCAGUAACAUUUCUCGUAAUUACUCGCCUUGUCUACAAUUCUUCCUUUCUUACCCUAUGUUUCUAACCCAGAUAGGCUACCCCUAUACUGUUAGAAGAGAGCAGUAUAGACUUGAUCCUUGGUAUGUCGUGGUUAAGAAAGGCAAAUGCAGUUUAUACACUGUGCUAAGGGAACCAUAGGACUCACCAGUUCCAAAGGACAGAGAUUUGAAGUUGAAAUUGCAGUAACUACCACCAUCAGACUAGCGACAUUCUUAGUAGAUGAGAAAUUUGUGGGUGACAACAUCCGUGCAGUUAGAGAUUUUCCGGAUGUCUUCCCAGAAGAGUUACCAGGGAUGCCACCAGAUAUGGAUGUUGAGUUGGUCAUUGAUCUCUUACCUGAGACUGCUCCUAUUUCUAAACGGCUAUACAGAAUGUCCGUAGAAGAACUAAAGGAACUUAAGAAGCAAUUAAUGGAAUUACAAGAGGCUGGGUACAUUCGACCGAGUUCCUCACCUUGGGGAGCACCGGUCUUGUUUGUACAGAAGAAGGAUGGAUCGCAGCGGAUGUGUGUGGAUUAUAGAUCUCUUAAUGAUGUUACGGUGAAGAACAAGUAUCCGUUGCCCCGUAUUGAGGAUUUAUUUGACCAGAUGAGAGGUGCAAAGGUAUUCUCGAAGAUUGAUCUUCGAUCGGGAUACCAUCAGAUGAGGAUUAGGCCAUCGGAUAUUCCCAAGACGGCUUUCUCGACUCGAUAUGGAUUAUAUGAGUUCACUGUUAUGUCGUUUGGAUUAACCAAUGCACCAGCUUAUUUUAUGAACUUGAUGAAUAAGGUGUUUAUGGAGUAUUUGGACAGAUUCGUCGUGGUAUUCAUCGACGAUAUUCUUAUCUAUUCCAAGAGUGAUAGUGAUCACGAGGAACAUCUGAGGUUGGUGCUACAGAAGCUACGAGAUAACCAGCUAUAUGCUAAGUUUAGCAAGUGCGAGUUUUGGAUUGGCGAGGUGCCAUUUCUUGGUCAUAUUAUUUCUAAUGGAGGAAUUUCAGUGGAUCCUGCUAAAGUUAAGGAGAUAAUGGAGUGGAGAGUACCCACUACAGUUACCGAGAUUCGGAGUUUCUUGGGACUAGCAGGGUAUUAUCGAAGAUUUAUUGAAGGAUUUUCUAAGAUCGCUAAACCCAUGACUUCGCUUUUGGAGAAAGGAAGAGAAUUUAAGUGGGACGAGAAGUGCCAAGACAGCUUUGAGCAAUUGAAAAGGAGGUUGAUGUCGCCACCAGUAUUGGUUAUGCCAGACCUAUAGAAAGGAUUUGAUAUCUAUUGUGAUGCAUGUGGCCAAGGCUUAGGAUGUGUGCUCAUGCAAGAAGGACAUGUGAUCGCCUACGCGUCUCGUCAGUUACGGAAACAUGAAUUGAAUUACCCCACUCAUGACUUGGAAUUAGCAGCCGUUGUGCAUGCGCUUAAGAUUUGGAGACAUUAUAUCAUGGGGACCAAGUGCCAAGUAUAUACGGAUCAUAAGAGUUUGAAGUAUAUAUUCACUCAGAAGGAUCUCAACCUUAGGCAAUGCCGUUGGUUGGAGCUUAUUAAGGAUUAUGAUUUGGAGAUUCACUAUCACCCGGGCAAGGCGAAUUUGGUUGCAGAUGCCUUGAGUCGCAAGGAGCAUGUUCAUUCAGCUAUUGUUGCCCAGCUACCCGAUGAGAUUGUUGAGGAUUUCAGGAGACUUAACCUGGGGAUAGUUGCUCAUACUGAAGGAGUUACUAUUGAUGUAGAACCUACUUUGGAGCAAGAAAUCCGCAAAGGUCAAAUUGGUGAUGCUAAAAUACAAGAGAUUAAGGAUCUGAUUACUGAAGGUCGAGUUCCGGAAUUCACGGAAGAUGAGAAAGGCACUGUAUGGUUCAAGGACAGAAUGUGUGUUCCUGAUAUUAAAAGCCUUCGAGAGACUAUUUUAAAGGAGGCCCAUGACUCGGAUUAUUCUAUUCAUCCUGGUAGUACCAAGAUGUAUCAGGAUUUGAAGCGGAAAUAUUGGUGGUAUGGAUUGAAAAGAGAUGUAGCUGCACAUGUGGCUAUGUGCGAUGUAUGCCAAAGAGUUAAGGCUGAACACCAGAGGCCAGCUGGAUUGUUACAUCCACUGAAGAUACCCGAGUGGAAAUGGGAAGAGAUUGGUAUGGAUUUUAUUACUGGAUUGCCUCGCACCCAGAAAGGAUAUGAUGCUAUAUGGGUGAUUGUGGAUAGAUUGACUAAAGUGGCUCACUUUAUUCCUGUGAAGACUACUUAUAAAGGUUCUCAGCUAGCAGAGUUAUAUAUGGCUCGGAUUGUGUGUUUACAUGGAGUACCAAAGAAGAUCGUGUCUGAUCGAGGUUCACAGUUUACCUCAAGAUUUUGGAGAAGCUUUCAUGAGAAUAUGAGUACAAAGUUGAAUUUUAGUACGGCUUAUCACCCUCAGACCGAUGGACAGACCGAAAGGACUAAUCAAGUAUUGGAAGAUAUGUUGAGAGCAUGUGCCCUUCAGCAUGGAGGAAGUUGGGAUAAAAGUCUACCAUAUGCUGAGUUCUCGUAUAAUAAUAGUUAUCAGGCCAGUCUGAAGAUGUCACCUUUUGAAGCUUUAUAUGGGAGGAAGUGCAGGACUCCUUUGUAUUGGGAUCAGACUGGAGAGAGACAGUUCUUUGGGCCUGAACUGAUUCAAGAAGCAGAAGAACAAGUUCGUAUAAUUCGAGAGAAUUUGAGAGUGGCUCAAACCAGGCAAAAGAGCUAUGCUGAUAAUAGAAGAAGGCCACUGGAAUUUGAAGAAGGAGAUUAUGUAUACCUCAAAGUGUCACCACUUCGUGGGAUGAGGAGAUUCAAAAUUUAGGGCAAAUUGUCCGCUCGCUAUAUUGGACCAUUCUGAGUUUUUAGGCAAGUUGGAGAGAUGGCCUAUUAACUCGAGCUACCUGAUAGUCUAUCGGAUGUGCAUAACGUGUUCCACGUAUCUCAACUAAAGAAGUAUCUCCGUGUCCCUGAGGAACAGUUACCAAUGGAAGAGCUCAGUGUUCAGGGUGAUUUGACUUACACGGAGUACCCGAUUAAGAUUUUGGACACUUUGACUCGAGUCACGAGGAAUAAGGUUAUAAGGAUGUGCAAAGUGCAAUGGAGUCACCACGGUGAAGAUGAAGCAACUUGGGAAAGAGAAGAAGAGCUUCACAUAGAUUUUCCCCACCUAUUCCCUAGAUCCUCUUAAAUCUCGAGGACGAGAUUAUUUUUAAGGGGGGUAGGAUUUGUAACACCCACUUUGUAAUUGCUAGAAAUAAUACCAAUAGAGAAAACAAUUUCUCUUUAUGUGAGUUUUACCUUUAUGCAUCAUCACAUGUGAACACUAAAUUCAAAAACAAAUAAGUAAUAAAAGGAUAUACCAUCACAGUUUAUGCAUCAUACUGAGUUUUUAUUUGGAUGUGCAUUUGUGCUUAAUAAAAUAAAUAUACCAUUAAUAGCAUAUCAAUGGAUCCAUAGAAUUUAAAGUUUAAACUUGAAAAUAAAACCAUGAGAAUAUAGAAAAGAAAGGGGAAGAGUAUAGAAUUUAUAGAAAAUAUAUACAUAAAAAUAGUAUCUUCAAAGUCAGUACUUUAAUGGCACAAUAUAAAAUUAUAAGGAAGGGCCAAAAGGUUUGAAUUAGAUCUGAAUUCAAAUUGAAUUUGAAAUGGGGAAAAAGAAAUGGAAAAGAAAAGAGUAAAACAGAACUACCCUAACUGGGCCCCAACCUCGUAUUCGGCCCAUCUCCACUUCCCUCCCCUUCCGCGGCCCAAGUCUUCAGCCCGCACGCGCCUGCCUCACCGCGCUGCCACUUACACCCAGGGCCCGGCUGUCAGUCUCGUCGCGCGCGCGCUCACCCUCACGACCUCUGCCUCGUGGGACCCGGUUGUCAGCCGCGGUGUGCGUACUCCGCAGCCCACAUCUCCGUUCCUGCGAAUCGCGCACGCGCUCCUCUGUGUCACUGAUGGUGGCCCCCGCAUGUCAUAUCCAUCCUCAUCCCCUCCGCGACUGCCUAUCACCUCCGCAUACGCCGCGCCGAAUCUACCGGGUCCGCGCCACGUUUUCCGUUAGGGACCCAGGGCUAUAUGGGAGGGGAGAGGACCCGGCCACGUCGCAAAGACACUCACGUGCUCUCCCCUCGUUCACCACUUCUAGCCGCCAGUAGAGAGGCCGGAUUAGGGAAAGAGAGCCGCCACAGCCGAUAUUCGACCCCAUCGCCUUAGAAGCCUUGGGAGGGGAGGCCGUGAAGCUUCGCCAUCACCAGGAAGACAACCCCAGCAGAAUCGGGCGGGUUUGAUCACCGGGGCAGCUCCGAAUUGCUCGCCGUCGUCGUCGCCUUGCCACUGUCCCGCCAUUCCUCCACAACUAGCGCUCUACGUGACGAUUACUCCAGUAUGAUGGCUCAUACAGGUUCCUUAUUGUUCCCGUAACACGUAGAAGCGAGCGGGUUAGACGCUAGAGCUCUAGCACUCCAGAUUUGAAUUUCGCCGGCGAGGUUCGCCGCGUACUGUGGGCGGCGCCGCCGUUCGCUGCGUCGGAUUGGGUUGGGGGAGCCUCUACCGUUGAUCCGCUAACACACGGCUAGGAUUAGAUCUUGGCAUACCUUUUCGCCUCGGUCGAUCGGGACCGUCGAUCUGGAUCGUACGGGCAGUGUUAGGUUUAGAGUAAUAAAAUCCGCACCGUGGAUCCUGGAUCCAACGGUGGGAUUUGCAUACCGAUUCGGAUAAGAACUUAAUUUAAUCUGGAUCGCUCGCGCUUGAUCCAACGGCCGGGAUCAAACGGUAUCCCUUCGCGGGUCCAUUUUACUUAAGAGCCCCUCGGUUUCAUUGAAAUCAACCCUCCGUCUAGAGCAACAGUGCUCUGAGUCUCAGGAUUAGUUGUAGAAUAGCCCCUGGGUUUAUCUGGAUUUGAGGCCCAGUCCAGUGCUGUUUUAAAAUGAGUAAAUGAAUUAGAAAAUGUAUUUUUAAUACAAAAAUAAGUGCUAAAUCUUCAAUAAUUCAUAUAAAAUUCAUACUUGCUCCAAAUUAAUCCAUUCCACUUUCUAAAUUUUUAUAAUUUUAUUGUCUAUCACUUAGAGCCACUGUUUUAUCAUGACAACAGUAGGAAAAUUAACCUCACACUUAAUCUUAUUUAAAACACAUAAAACCUUUGAAAAGGCAUAACUUAAAAUCUAUAACUCCAAAAAAAUUAUGAUUCCUGUUCCUAGAAUUUUAUUUUAUUAUGUAGAAUAUUUCUGUGUAUUUUGUUUACAUGCUUGGUGUAAUGUUAAUUUUCCCUAUAUCCUGUGCUUGCUUGUAUUGUGGCGAGUAGAAGAACCCGUUGCUGAGGAUCCUGGUGAGCAGCAGGUUGAAGUAGCUGAGCAGGAGCUCAUUGAAGGCAAGUUGUGUCCUUGACCAUUUUUUACCUAAUAAUGUUCCUUAAUAUCACUUACUCAUGCAUAGGUUAAUUUUGAUGGGACCCAAUAGGUCACCCUAGAUUGUUUAUCUCAUUACCUUGUUUACCCCUAAAUCACUUGGGUAGUUUGCUAUUGCUUUACAUGGUUUUGGGAUAAUAAUUUAUUAUAUCUAUGUUCCAAUUAUUCUUGUUAUUCUAUUUAUGUUCAUGUUAAGAUCAUUAAUGUUAAUUGGAACAUAGAGCUUAACUUGAGAACCACGUGCCACCACAAGUGUUUAAUGGGACGCCCUUGGCUGACUAAUUAGGAAAGCUAGUGGAAGACUACCUUACCCGAAAGGGGCAAGGGCAGUAGGGGAGUGGUCAGUGUAGGGAGG